AUUGAACGCUGGCGGGAUGCUCUACACAUGCAAGUCGAACGGCAGCGCGGACUUCGGUCUGGCGGCGAGUGGCGAACGGGUGAGUAAUGUAUCGGAACGUGCCCAGUAGCGGGGGAUAACUACGCGAAAGCGUAGCUAAUACCGCAUACGCCCUCCGGGGGAAAGCAGGGGAUCGUAAGAUCUUGCACUAUUGGAGCGGCCGAUAUCGGAUUAGCUAGUUGGUGAGGUAACGGCUCACCAAGGCGACGAUCCGUAGCUGGUUUGAGAGGACGACCAGCCACACUGGGACUGAGACACGGCCCAGACUCCUACGGGAGGCAGCAGUGGGGAAUUUUGGACAAUGGGGGCAACCCUGAUCCAGCCAUCCCGCGUGUGUGAUGAAGGCCUUCGGGUUGUAAAGCACUUUUGGCAGGAAAGAAACGUCGCGGGCUAAUACCCCGUGGAACUGACGGUACCUGCAGAAUAAGCACCGGCUAACUACGUG
rnacentral:rRNA from 1 species